CACCCGCGUCCCAAAGCAGCUGCUGGCUGACCUCAUUGAGAAGAACCUGCAGAAUCGGGCUCACCCCAAGCUGCUGCUGCGCAGGACGGAGUCUGUGGCUGAGAAGAUGCUGACGAACUGGUUCACCUUCCUGUUGCAUCGGUUCCUCAGGGAGUGCGCCGGGGAGCCGCUGUUCCUGUUGUUUUGCGCCAUCAAGCAGCAGAUGGAGAAGGGGCCGCUGGACGCGGUGAGCGGGGAAGCUCGCUACUCGCUGAGUGAGGACAAGCUACUCCGGCCGCAGAUCGGCUACAAG